rnacentral:rRNA from 1 species
GACGAACGCUGGCGGCGUGCUUAACACAUGCAAGUCGAACGGAAAGGCCCUGCUUUGGUGGGGUGCUCGAGUGGCGAACGGGUGAGUAACACGUGAGUAACCUGCCCUUGACUGUGGGAUAACUUCAGGAAAGUGGGGCUAAUACGGGAUAGGAGCUCCUGCUGCAUGGUGGGGGUUGGAAAGUUUCGGCGGUUGGGGAUGGACUCGCGGCUUAUCAGCUUGUUGGUGGGGUAGUGGCUAAGCAAGGUUUGGACGCGUGGCAGGGCUGAGAGGGUGAGCGGCCCAAUUGCGCCUGGGAUACGGCCCAGCCUCCUCCGGGAGGCAGCGCAGCAGAAUAUAGUACUAUGGGCGGAACCCUGACCUAGUCCAGCCGCGCGCGGGAUGACGGCCUUGGGGUAGUAUACCGCUUCCGCCUGUGACGAAGCGAUAGUGACGGUACUGGGUAAAGAAGCACCGGCUAACUACGUG